ensembl:snoRNA SNORA70 Small nucleolar RNA SNORA70
CGGCACAAAAGUAAAUUUUAAAAUAGCCUCGGGACCCCUGAUGUGCCAUCGCUGCAAACAGUAGCCUCCUUGGCAGUGUAUGCAGCUUAUUGUCUAUACAGGUUGCCCUAAGGGUCCUUGGAGACAGCC